rnacentral:rRNA from 1 species
GACGAACGCUGGCGGCGUGCUUAACACAUGCAAGUCGAACGGAAAGGCCCUGCUUUUGUGGGGUGCUCGAGUGGCGAACGGGUGAGUAACACGUGAGUAACCUGCCCUUGACUUUGGGAUAACUUCAGGAAACUGGGGCUAAUACCGGAUAGGAGCUCCUGCUGCAUGGUGGGGGUUGGAAAGUUUCGGCGGUUGGGGAUGGACUCGCGGCUUAUCAGCUUGUUGGUGGGGUAGUGGCUUACCAAGGCUUUGACGGGUAGCCGGCCUGGGAGGGUGACCGGCCACAUUGGGCCUGCGAUACGGCCCAGACUCCUACGGGAGGCAGCAGUGGGGAAUAUUGCCCAGUGGGCGGAAGCCUGAUGCAGCAACGCCGCGUGCGGGAUGACGGCCUUCGGGUUGUGAACCGCUUUCGCCUGUGACGAAGCGUGAGUGACGGUAAUGGGUAAAGAAGCACCGGCUAACUACGUG